UACAGAGGGUGCGAGCGUUAAUCGGAAUUACUGGGCGUAAAGGGCGCGUAGGCGGAGAAGUAUGUCUGAUGUGAAAGUCCUGGGCUUAACCUGGGGAUGGCAUCAGAAACUGCUUUUCUGGAGUGAAGUAGAGGGUGGCGGAAUUUCCGGUGUAGCGGUGAAAUGCGUAGAUAUCGGAAAGAACACCAGUGGCGAAGGCGGCCACCUGGACUUUAACUGACGCUGAGGCGCGAAAGCAUGGGGAGCGAACAGG
rnacentral:rRNA from 1 species